ensembl:lncRNA
CUCGUGCGCGCGCGGCGCUUUCCCGCCCAUUGCCUGAGGGGAGCGCGGCGCGCGGGGGGUUGACGAGGUGUUCGCACGCCUGUACUCCACUCCUACUUUGUUCAGCCUGAGGCAAACGGUGCCGGGACGAAAGGGGGCGGCUGGAACGGUCCUCUAGAGCAGCAGCCCAACCCCGAGCCCAGCUGUCGUGGUACUGCUGAUAAAACCCAGGGCGCUGAGUUCCCUCUGCUUCUAACCCAGACUCACAAUGUGGAGAGUAUCCUUACUGAGAUGGAAAUUUGAAUGAGGAAGAAUGGUCCAUUCCCAGUGGAGAUAUAUUUAGGAUCCUGUCAUGCAUCAGUGGUGGCCUUUCUAGGCUGGGUUACCGAGUGCUAAGGAAAUGGAUGGGAGACAUGCUUGGUCUUUGUAAUUGUCACUGAUGUCUUUUGAAGAGCUUCUACUUCUGUAAAGACUUAUGAACUAGGUGAAAUACUGGCAAGAGGAAAGAACAACUUAUCUAGAAUUUACGAACUACGAACAAACUACAAAAUAUGAACAAACAAACAAACAAACAAAAAAACCAACCAACCAAACAAAAAACCUGAAGGGAAGACCCCAGACUAAUAAUCAUUCCCUUCCCACCUUUACAGAUGAAGUUAAGACAGACAGAAUUAAAGGACUCACUGAGGUUAUACAGCACAGUUAGAAUUUGAACUCAGAACUUCUGAGCCCAACCUCAGUGCUUCAGCUACACAUUAAUUUUCUUUUUUAUAUUCCCUCACAGUCUCAGGCCAUGUGGCCACUAUUGGUAAAAUGAAAAACAGGUGCAGAUCCUUGAACAGAUGGGAGACCAGCCCUGGCUGAUCUCUGGAGGAUAAUACAGCGUUGCUUUCCGGCAAAGAGGAUUCCAAAGAACUGCAGAGGCAACACCCCUGCCCUAAAAGUGAAGCUGUUUUGCUGCACAAUAAACAUUAUCUCUACCAGCCCAAAUUGCAGUACUGACACUUUGUUUUUCAGGCAUGCCUGUAAAGAUUGUAGAAGGCUUAAUUGCAAUUCCAUUCUUUGCAGUAACUGCAGCCAACGUUUUGCAGUUGCUGAAACAUGAAGUUUCUUCCCUGGAGUAGACAACUUUGGAAUGUCUAACCCUCCAAAAAUGCCAUUAGUCAUAUGCAAAAACUGGAAAAAUCACUAGUGGUAUGAAACAAAUAAUCCAGGUAAGAAUAAUAGUGUAUUUAUUCUAGAUCUGUAAGUACUGAACCCUUUUGGUUCCCAGUUCAUGAGGAACUGAUAGCUUGGUCUGCAAUAUAUUGCUAAAUAAAGAACCUGAAUUGCUGUCUCAGCAGGAGGGUGAUAGAGAACGACUAACAGGGCAAUUGCAUAGUUCUAAACACAGGAUGGAUAGUGAAGAUGCAAAGUAAUUCCCCGCUUUGUGUGACCUACAGUUGUGAUCUCUGUAUGUUAAAAGAUAUAUUUUCCCUCUACGUCUCACCUGCAUGUAUACAUCUGCCAAAAGGAUUAGAGAAAUCACAGCAAUCCUCAAUUUUCACAGAUCCCCACAGUAUGUAUCAAACCCAAGAGGAGCACUCAUGCAAGACAGGAUAUGUUGUGCAUUAGAUGCUUCUGGUUCCAGCCGUUAUUAUAGGUUUCUCACUCUUUUAGUGCUGUGUCUGAGAGAGGUUAGUUAAUCUCACUAAAGCUGCUUAUACAGCAAAAAGGCAUGUCCAAGAAACUCCAAUAGGAACUGACCGUUUCUUACAUCUCUG